UUCCGGUUGAUCCUGCCGGACCCGACUGCUAUCAGAGCGGGACUAAGCCAUGCGAGUCAACGCAGCAAUGCGUGGCAUACGGCUCAGUAACACGUAGUCAACAUGCCCAGGGGACGUGGAUAACCUCGGGAAACUGAGGAUAAACCGCGAUAGGCCAAGAUUUCUGGAAUGGAUCAUGGCUGAAACCUACAUGGCCCCUGGAUUGGACUGCGGCCGAUCAGGCUGUUGGUGAGGUAAUGGCCCACCAAACCUGUAACCGGUACGGGCUCUGAGAGGAGGAGCCCGGAGAUGGGCACUGAGACAAGGGCCCAGGCCCUAUGGGGCGCAGCAGGCGCGAAACCUCUGCAAUAGGCGAAAGCUUGACAGGGUUACUCUGAGUGAUGCCCGUUAAGGGCAUCUUUUGGCACUUCUAAAAAUAGUGUAGAAUAAGGGGUGGGCAAGUCUGGUGUCAGCCGCCGCGGUAAUACCAGC
rnacentral:rRNA from 1 species